AUUGAACGCUGGCGGCAGGCCUAACACAUGCAAGUCGAACGGUAACGGGAAGAAGCUUGCUUCUUUGCCGACGAGUGGCGGACGGGGGAGCAACGCGUAGGAAUUUGCCUAGUAGUGGGGGAUAGCCCAGAGAAAUUUGGAUUAAUACCGCAUACACUCUACGGAGAAAAGCAGGGGACCUUUCGGGGCCUUGCGCUAUUAGAUAAGCCUGCGUGGGAUUAGCUAGUUGGUGAGGUAAGAGCUCACCAAGGCGACGAUCUCUAGCUGGUCUGAGAGGAUGAUCAGCCACACUGGAACUGAGACACGGUCCAGACUCCUACGGGAGGCAGCAGUGGGGAAUAUUGCACAAUGGGCGCAAGCCUGAUGCAGCCAUGCCGCGUGUGUGAAGAAGGCUUUCGGGUUGUAAAGCACUUUCAGUAGGGAGGAAAGGUUGUUGAUUAAUACUCAACAUCUGUGACGUUACCUACAGAAGAAGCACCGGCUAACUCCGUGCCAGCAGCCGCGGUAAUACGGAGGGUGCGAGCGUUAAUCGGAAUUACUGGGCGUAAAGCGCGCGUAGGCGGUUUGCUAAGCCAGAUGUGAAAGCCCCGGGCUCAACCUGGGAACUGCAUUUGGAACUGGCAGGCUAGAGUACGGUAGAGGGUGGUAGAAUUUCCUGUGUAGCGGUGAAAUGCGUAGAUAUAGGAAGGAAUACCAGUGGCGAAGGCGGCCACCUGGACUGAUACUGACGCUGAGGUGCGAAAGCGUGGGGAGCGAACAGGAUUAGAUACCCUGGUAGUCCACGCCGUAAACGAUGUCAACUAGCCGUAGGGAUCCUUGAGGUCUUUGUGGCGCAGCUAACGCAAUAAGUUGACCGCCUGGGGAGUACGGUCGCAAGAUUAAAACUCAAAUGAAUUGACGGGGGCCCGCACAAGCGGUGGAGCAUGUGGUUUAAUUCGAAGCAACGCGAAGAACCUUACCCGCUCUUGACAUCCAGUGAACUUUCCAGAGAUGGAUUGGUGCCUUCGGGAACACUGAGACAGGUGCUGCAUGGCUGUCGUCAGCUCGUGUUGUGAAAUGUUGGGUUAAGUCCCGUAACGAGCGCAACCCUUGUCCUUAUUUGCCAGCACGUAUGGUGGGAACUCUAAGGAGACUGCCGGUGACAAACCGGAGGAAGGUGGGGACGACGUCAAGUCAUCAUGGCCCUUACGAGUAGGGCUACACACGUGCUACAAUGGCCGGUACAGAGGGCUGCAAUGUCGCGAGGCGGAGCAAAUCUCAAAAAACCGGUCGUAGUCCGGAUUGGAGUCUGCAACUCGACUCCAUGAAGUCGGAAUCGCUAGUAAUCGCGAAUCAGAAUGUCGCGGUGAAUACGUUCCCGUGCCUUGUACACACCGCCCUUCACACCAUGGGAGUGGAUUGCACCAGAAGUAGGUAGCUUAACCUUAGGGGGGGCGCUUACCACGGUGUGCUUCAUGACUGGGGUGAAG
rnacentral:rRNA from 1 species